GAUGGGGGAAAAGAAGUUGACAGAAGAGAGUGAGCACACAAAGGGGAAGUUGUAUAAAAGUUUUGUAUAUGGUUGCUUUUGCGUGCUCACUCUCUUUUUGUCAUAACUUCUCCUUCAU